UUUUUUUUUUUUGAUGGAGCCGAUGACAAGAUCCGGAUUUGACUAUGCGAAAUUGUGCCUCGGGGAGAAAGUUGCCAGUUGCAUUUGUAGAUCCCAAUGUGCGUAUAUAUAUGGGGAGCUGCGCGGACGGGUCUGGCUGGGCUGGUGCCCUCGCUGGGAGGGCGAGCAGAAACCGCUUGAAGCCUGUGGCUGGAUCACUCCUUCCUGCCUCCCUGCGGGUCCGGGUUCGGAUCCGCUGGCUCUACUCAGGUUUAUCUCCGGCUUCUUUCCUUGGGAAAGCGCUGUAGUACUAACUGUUCCACUGAUGCUGAGGUACGGGGAAAGACGAGGGCUGUUUCUCAGCGACCCUCCUUGCUCCUCCUCCCCGCAUCAAUAAAAGCGAAAGUCGUACCGCU